GGGGAGGUAAACUGUAAUUGGUAGCAGACCAAACUGUAAAUUUGGCACCUUCGGGUUCUGAUGGUUCAAGUCCAUCUCUCCUCA
rnacentral:tRNA from 1 species